AUUCCCCUAGUAACUGCGAGUGAAGCGGGAAGAGCUCAAAUUUGAAAUCUGGCGGUCUUAGGCCGUCCGAGUUGUAGUCUGGAGAAGCGUCUUCCGUGCCGGACCGUGUACAAGUCCCUUGGAACAGGGCGUCAUAGAGGGUGAGAAUCCCGUCUCUGACACGGACUGCCGGUACUAUGUGAUGCGCUCUCGAAGAGUCGAGUUGUUUGGGAAUGCAGCUCAAAAUGGGUGGUAAAUUCCAUCUAAAGCUAAAUACAGGCGAAAGACCGAUAGCGAACAAGUACCGUGAGGGAAAGAUGAAAAGCACUUUGGAAAGAGAGUUAAAGAGUACGUGAAAUUGUUGAAAGGGAAACGCUUGAAGUCAGUCGCGUCUCACGGGAUUCAGCCUUUGUCUCCGGGCUAGGUGCAUUUCCCUUGUAGACGGGCCAGCAUGAAUUCGGAUCGUCAGAGAAGGGUCGAGGGAAUGUGGCACCCCCUGGGUGUGUUAUAGCCCUCGGUCACAUGUGGCGGUCGGGAUUGAGGAUCGCAGCACGCCUUUAAUGGCCGGGUUCGCCCACGUAACGUGCUUAGGAUGCUGGCGUAAUGGCUUCAAACGACCCGU
rnacentral:rRNA from 1 species